rnacentral:rRNA from 1 species
CACGUAGGGGACGAGCGUUGUCCGGAUUCAUUGGGCGUAAAGCGCACGUAGGCGGCUUAGCAAGUCGGAUGUGAAAUCCCUCGGCUCAACCAAGGAAGUGCAUCCGAAACUGCUGAGCUUGAGUACGAAAGAGGAUCGCGGAAUUCCCGGUGUAGAGGUGAAAUUCGUAGAUAUCGGGAGGAACACCAGUGGCGAAGGCGGCGAUCUGGGUCGAUACUGACGCUGAGGUGCGAAAGCGUGGGGAGCAAACAGG